rnacentral:ncRNA from 1 species
CUAUCUUUGUCCGAAAUCGGUUAUCAGCGCUCUGUGUGCUGAUAUUAAAAGGGAAUCCGGUGAAAAUCCGGAACUGUCCCGCAGCUGUAAGCUCAUCAACCGAAGCCCGUUUUUUAAGGUCACUGUUCCUCAGGGAAUGGGAAGGCCGGGUGAAGGGAGCAAGUCAGAAUACCUGCCGAUGGAUUUAUGUAUUC